rnacentral:rRNA from 1 species
AGACGAACCGUACGAACGUUAUUCGGAAUUACUGGGCUUAAAUGGUGCGUAGGCUGCACGGAAAGUUGGGUGUGAAAGCCCUCAGCUCAACUGAGGAAUUGCAUCCAAAACUGCCGUGCUUGAGGGAGACAGAGGUGAGCGGAACUCAAGGUGGAGCGGUGAAAUGCGUUGAUAUCUUGAGGAACACCGGUGGCGAAAGCGGCUCACUGGGUCUCUUCUGACGCUGAGGCACGAAAGCUAAGGUAGCAAACGGGAUUAGAAACCCCAGUAGUCC